CGGCUUUAGCGCGGUGGUCCCACCUGACCCCAUGCCGAACUCAGAAGUGAAACGCCGUAGCGCCGAUGGUAGUGUGGGGUCUCCCCAUGCGAGAGUAGGGAACUGCCAG
rnacentral:rRNA from 1 species